UACAGAGGUCUCAAGCGUUGUUCGGAUUCAUUGGGCGUAAAGGGUGUGUAGGUGGCGCGCUAAGUCGGGGUGUGAAAUUUUGGAGCUUAACUCCGAAACUGCAUUCGAUACUGGCGUGCUUGAGGACUGGAGAGGAGACUGGAAUUCAUGGUGUAGCAGUGAAAUGCGUAGAGAUCAUGAGGAAGACCAGUGGCGAAGGCGGGUCUCUGGACAGUUCCUGACACUGAGGCACGAAGGCCAGGGGAGCAAACGGG
rnacentral:rRNA from 1 species